rnacentral:rRNA from 1 species
AAGCUCGUAGUUGAAUUUCGGGGUCUACCCAUUGGUCAGGCUUAAUUGUCUGUACUGGUGAGAUGGAUCUCUACCCUCUGAGGAACUUUCAUGCCAUUUAUUUGGUGUGAUGGGAAAUCAGGACUGUUACUUUGAAAAAAUUAGAGUGUUUAAAGCAGACUAUCGUCUGAAUACAUUAGCAUGGAAUAAUGAAAUAGGACGGACUGAUUCUAUUUCGUUGGUUUCUAGGAUCACCGUAAUGAUUAAUAGGGAUAGUUGGG